UACGUAGGGUGCAAGCGUUGUCCGGAAUUAUUGGGCGUAAAGAGCUCGUAGGCGGUUUUGUAAGCCAGAUGUGAAAUCCCCGGGCUUAACCUGGGAAUGGCAUUUGGGACUGCAAGGCUCGAGUGCGGCAGAGGAGACUGGAAUUCCUGGUGUAGCAGUGAAAUGCGUAGAUAUCAGGAGGAACACCGAUGGCGAAGGCAGGUCUCUGGGCUGACACUGACGCUCAUGCACGAAAGCGUGGGGAGCAAACAGG
rnacentral:rRNA from 1 species